rnacentral:rRNA from 1 species
CGGGGUGCACCAGGCGCGAAAACUUUACAAUGCGGGAAACCGUGAUAAGGGGACACCGAGUGCCAGCAUCAUAUGCUGGCUGUCCGGGUGUGUAAAAUACACCCGUUAGCAAGGGCCGGGCAAGACCGGUGCCAGCCGCCGCGGUAACACCGGCGGCUCGAGUGGUGAUCGUGAUUAUUGGGUCUAAAGGGUCCGUAGCCGGUUUGGUCAGUCCUCCGGGAAAUCUGACGGCUCAACCGUUAGGCUUUCGGGGGAUACUGUCAGGCUUGGAACCGGGAGAGGUAAGAGGUACUACAGGGGUAGGAGUGAAAUCUUGUAAUCCCUGUGAGACCACCUGUGGCGAAGGCGUCUUACCAGAACGGGUUCGACGGUGAGGGACGAAAGCUGGGGGCACGAACCGGAUUAGAUACCCGGGUAGUCCCAGCCGUAAACGAUGCUCGCUAGGUGUCAGGCAUGGCGCGACCGUGUCUGGUGCCGCAGGGAAGCCGUGAAGCGAGCCACCUGGGAAGUACGGCCGCAAGGCUGAAACUUAAAGGAAUUGGCGGGGGAGCACAAGGGCGAAUCGC